CACCGGUUGGCAAACCGGCGCUGCAUUGUUUGCCCUGUUCCCACAAGCCACCCUACAGGACCUACAAGGUAACAAUGGAAAGGCUAGUUAUGGUGAAGCAUUCUGGGUUUGUGAUAACAGUGCCUAUAAAUGGCUCCCUCAUGGUUGGCAUGGUAGCUGUUACAAAGGCUAUCUCGCUCCUCCCCUCCGUGUUCUCACCCAGGAUCCCUCAGGUCACCCUAGGUACUAUCGGUCCUUGAGAGCUCCAUUGAACCCAUCGGUGAAGGAGACAGGUUUGGGAUGAUAUUCCUCCCUUCCUAUGGGGUGGGACGACUAACCCAACUCUACAGAAGACUGUCUAAAUUUCUCACUCAGAUCUCACUCAGGGA